rnacentral:rRNA from 1 species
GAUGAACGCUGGCGGCGUGCCUAAUACAUGCAAGUCGAGCGAAUGGAUUGAGAGCUUGCUCUUAUGAAGUUAGCGGCGGACGGGUGAGUAACACGUGGGUAACCUGCCCAUAAGACUGGGAUAACUCCGGGAAACCGGGGCUAAUACCGGAUAACAUUUUGAACCGCAUGGUUCGAAAUUGAAAGGCGGCUUCGGCUGUCACUUAUGGAUGGACCCGCGUCGCAUUAGCGAGUUGGUGAGGUAACGGCUCACCAAGGCAACGAUGCGUAGCCGACCUGAGAGGGUGAUCGGCCACACUGGGACUGAGACACGGACCAGACUCCUACGGGAGGCAGCAGUAGGGAAGCUUCCGCAAUGGACGAAAGUCUGACGGAGCAACGCCGCGUGAGUGAUGAAGGCUUUCGGGUCGUAAAACUCUGUUGUUAGGGAAGAACAAGUGCUAGUUGAAUAAGCUGGCACCUUGACGGUACCUAACCAGAAAGCCACGGCUAACUACGUGCCAGCAGCCGCGGUAA